CCUGCCUAGAAGGGAGCUGGGCCAAAAGAUUGGGUUAAAAGGGGGUGGGAGGGGUAAUCCGUUUGAUCCAACUUCAAAUCCCACCACUGACUCCUUUGAACAAGGGCUAUCAAAGGAAGCCCUCUCCCAGCGAGCUGUGUGAAAUUGGAGACUCCACUUACCUUCUGCCUCUUAAAAUUAGGCAAGCCCUCCACACAGCAAGAGAGUUAUUACUUUCUUGCCUAUGGUGUUAUCGAGACUGAGAACCUCAGCCCAUUUUGUGGUCAUAAACCAGAAACUUCGAGAAAGUACCCAGUAUGUUUGCAGGUGGGACUUCUUGUAAAAGACACUUGGUAGCCAGUAGUCUGAAAGGCAGGACAAAGCAAAUCACGUAGGGUUCACUGAGUUCGGCAUCAGCCAGGGUCCACUGAGAUGUCCCUGCUCUUCAGCUUUAAGGACGAUCACUUCAAUUCUACUCAUGCUUAUGCCCGGCCCUGUGAAGAUCUGAAGUCCUCCUCAGGUACAUUCUUUCAGAGAUUAAGUGGGGGCUUUAUAAAUGCCUCACUAAGAAAACUUCUAUUCACAAGGCCCAAUGCGUCUCCUUCUACAUGGCCCUCAUUCAAUGAGAUCCCCUGAGACUGAAGUUCUUAGCCCAUAUCCUCCUAUUCCCCAAACUGCUGACUUCAUGGAUGAGUACAGCCUCUCCUCUCCUCCUACCCUGAGUUCAUCUCCUCAAAUGCCAAGAAGACUAUUUGAUGUUACUACCUCUGGAGCAGCCAAGG
rnacentral:lncRNA from 1 species